UGCCAGCAGCCGCGGUAAUACGGAGGGGGUUAGCGUUGUUCGGAAUCACUGGGCGUAAAGCGCACGUAGGCGGACUUUUAAGUCAGGGGUGAAAUCCCGGGGCUCAACCUAGGAAUUGCCUUUGAAACUGAUUGUCUAGAGACCGGAAGAGGAUGGUGGAAUUCCCAGUGUAGAGGUGAAAUUCGUAGAUAUUGGGAAGAACACCGGUGGCGAAGGCGGCCAUCUGGUCCGGAUCUGACGCUGAGGCGCGAAAGCGUGGGGAGCAAACAGGAUUAGAUA
rnacentral:rRNA from 1 species